rnacentral:rRNA from 1 species
GAUGAACGCUGGCGGCGUGCCUAAUACAUGCAAGUCGAGCGAACAGACGAGGAGCUUGCUCCUUCGACGUUAGCGGCGGACGGGUGAGUAACACGUAGGUAACCUACCUAUAAGGCUGGGAUAACUUCGGGAAACCGGAGCUAAUACCGGAUAAUAUUUCGAACCGCAUGGUUCGAUAGUGAAAGAUGGCUUUGCUAUCACUUAUAGAUGGACCUGCGCCGUAUUAGCUAGUUGGUAAGGUAACGGCUUACCAAGGCAACGAUACGUAGCCGACCUGAGAGGGUGAUCGGCCACACUGGAACUGAGACACGGUCCAGACUCCUACGGGAGGCAGCAGUAGGGAAUCUUCCGCAAAGGGCGAAAGCCUGACGGAGCAACGCCGCGUGAGUGAUGAAGGUCUUCGGAUCGUAAAACUCUGUUAUUAGGGAAGAACAAACGUGUAAGUAACUGUGCACGUCUUGACGGUACCUAAUCAGAAAGCCACGGCUAACUACGUG